rnacentral:tRNA from 1 species
GGCUGGAUAGCUCAGUUGGUAGAGCACCGGAAUGGUUAUCCGGAGGUCGCAGGUUCAAACCCCGCUCCAGUCA